ensembl:lncRNA
CUUGGCCAGCCGCAGAACAGACUGGAAGCACGCCACUUGUCCCUAUUGGCAUCAAACAGUGCCUAUGUGACCCGUUACCUGGGGAAUAGUUACAGAGGGAAUUUGUAAACCCCGAAGGAACAGGGGCUCCAAAUUCAAAUGCCUUCAGGACCUGGGAAGGCAACAGGAAGCAGGCACUGUGGCCAGCUGUGGACAGACGAGGGUGACGGCCGCUGGGUAGUUUAGCCAAGUGUCAUACACUGGAGGGGAAGAUCAGGAUUAUAACAGAUUGGCAGAUUUUUCUAUGAGAAUGUGGAAACUUGGAUUUGCAUAACUUAGAAAGUUACUCUCGGCUGAAGAUCUGAGAUAGAAAUUUGCACAGCUGAGCACAGUCUGAGGAAGAAUCUCUGUUCAAAGAAGAAUCUAUUAGCCUCAGAUCAGAGCCUGAUGUGGCGAUAGAUGGAAUGAGGAGUCGAGGCCAACUCCCAGCUCUGCAGAGGUUCAUCUGAAGGGGUUACUGGAAAGGAACAUGGAACUAAGGAGCCACCUCCAACCGGAAGAGUUCAGGAAAGGUCCAAAGGAGACACCACGUGUCCCACCACCUCCCAGAAUCCUCACUGGAAUUCAUCGUGGCUGAGCAAUGUGUGCACCACCAAGAAGGACCCUGAGUCAGAGUGAUUGGCCAGAGACAACCCAGAAAGUAACUCCAACACCAUAAAACCCAGGACUGCAAGCCAUGUGGCAGAGGAGUCCUCCUAGGUCUCCUUACCCUCCUGCCCCCCUCCCAGGCCACCCUUCCCAAUAAAGCCUCUUGCUCUGUCAACACGUGUGUCUCCUCAGACAAUUCAUUUCCGAGUGUUAGACAAGAGUCCACUCUCGGCCCAGGAAAGGAUCCCCCUUCCUGCAAUAGCAU